rnacentral:lncRNA from 1 species
CCACCCGUGUCAGCUGACAUGGGCCGUGUCAGGAGCACUGAAGAAAAAUGGGAGAUUUAGCGUGGCAGUGGCCUGACACGGGCGGUCGUGUCAGGCAGACGAGAUUUUUGAAUUUUUUUUUAAAAUUUUUAAAUUUAUGUGGGCCCCACCUUUUAAUCCUUUCUUAACCACACUUUACUCACUUUGUACCUUAUCAUUACGUAGUUUUUCCAUAACUUUUCCACCUUCUCU